rnacentral:piRNA from 1 species
UGUUUCAGAUUAGAUGACCGUUACUGUGGGA